rnacentral:rRNA from 1 species
UACGUAGGGUGCAAGCGUUAAUCGGAAUUACUGGGCGUAAAGCGUGCGCAGGCGGUUAUGCAAGACAGAGGUGAAAUCCCCGGGCUCAACCUGGGAACUGCCUUUGUGACUGCAUAGCUAGAGUACGGUAGAGGGGGAUGGAAUUCCGCGUGUAGCAGUGAAAUGCGUAGAUAUGCGGAGGAACACCGGUGGCGAAGGCGGGUCUCUGGGCCGUUACUGACGCUGGAGGCGACGAAAGCCGUGGGGAGCAAACAGG